rnacentral:rRNA from 1 species
UACGUAGGGACCUAGCGUUGUCCGGAAUCAUUGGGCGUAAAGCGCGCGUAGGUGGCCUCAUAAGUCCGCUGUGAAAGUCAAAGGCUCAACCUUUGAAAGCCGGUGGAUACUGUGAGGCUAGAGUACGGAAGAGGCGAGUGGAAUUCCUGGUGUAGCGGUGGAAUGCGCAGAUAUCAGGAGGAACACCAAUAGCGAAGGCGGCACUCUGGGCCGAUACUGACACUGAGGAGCGAAAGCGUGGGGAGCGAACAGG